UUCAGGCUUACACACAGCUCUUCAGGCCUGGGAAACUUAAUCAGAGUGCCACAGGCCUGGUCUACACGACCAAGUUAAGUCGAUGCAAGGCAGCUUACAUUUACCUAACUCUGUAAGCGUCUACUCUAAAAUGUCACUGCUGUCAAUGUAACUCGCCUGCUAUGCUGACUUAAUACCUCUACCUGCAUGAGAGGUGUAGUGCUUAUGUUGACAUACUUGGGUCAACGCAAUGUCAGUGUAGACACUGCAUUACUUACAUUGACUUUAGUGGCCUCCAGGGGGUGGCCCCCAAUGCCCCACCAUGACCAUUGAACUCUGAUACCCUGCAGCCAGGUACACAGGUGAAUGUCCCUCCCCUUUUAAAGCUCCGCACAUUUUUGAAAUUCCAUUUCCUAUUUGCUUGGUGUGGAGAACUCAGAUAGCAACUGUCCAGCUGACCAUGUCGGCUCCACAAUGCAGAUGUGUUCCUGCCUGCAGUACACAGGAGGUGGGGGAUCUCCUGGGCCUGUGGGGAGAAGAGGCUGUGCAGGCACAGCUCCGAUCCAGCCCUAGAAAUGUUAAUAUCUAUGAGCAGAUCACUCAAGGCAUGGUGGAGAAGGGCUACAAGACGGACAUGCAGCAUUGCUGAGUUAAUGCCAAGGUGCUGCAGCAGGUAUACCAAAAGGCAAGGGAGGCGAACAGUUGCUCUGGUGCAGAGUCACAGACGUGCCACUUUUACAAGGAGCAGCAUGCCAUCCUCAGCGGCGACCCCACCAACACACCAAAGGCAAAGUGGAUACUUCAGAGGAGUCAGUGUCACAGGCCACCAGAGUGAAACCUGAAGAUGAUGCGUUGGAUGAGGAAGAGGAGGAGGGGACUGGAGGAUCCCGUAGCACAGCGAGCCUGAUGUAUGACAAGGAACCUCCAAAUCUUCACUUUCUGCUCAAAUAGCAACUGCCUGGAAGGUUUCAAGGAUGGCAAUUAAGAGUCCUGUCUAGUGUACGAAUCACACAUUAACCCCCUGCUGCAGCCCUAAAGACUACAAACAUACAACCUUGAAGAGUUCCACCUAUAUAGCUGGAAGAAGCAACUGAUCCAGUGGUAAAAGGUUAGCAGUCUUCAGAUGUUGAGCAUGUGAAGAGAAGCCUCCCUGUUGUUGGUGUGUGGUUUCAGGAAAAAUACAGGGACAUAGAUGCCCAGAGUCUUUAAGGUGGCCCGGGAGUCCUUUAAAGUAUGUAAGGACGCAUCUGUGGAUUCCAUGAACAGUUUCUGACCCUCAAACGGUAGGUCUUCCACAGCACCUCCCUCGGGAGUCCAGAGAGAUAUAACCAUGAUGCCCAACACAUGACAACGGAGGUCACGAUGGAGCGUGCUGCUGUGUCCGUGGAAUUGAGGGAAGUUUGGAGGGUCGUCUUUGCAAUGAAAGAGUCUUCGGAGAUGUUGGACUUACAGGCUUCUCUCUUGUCCUCUGGGAGAUGUUCAAUAAAGAAGACA